rnacentral:tRNA from 1 species
GGAUUGUGGCUCAGUGGCAGAGUGCUUGCCUCGCAUGUAUGAAGUACUGGGUUCAAUCCACAGCACCA